AAAAAAUCAAACAAAAAUAAUGUUGGAUUUACAACUGCUCUGCCUAAUGUGAUCUCUAAAGCAAGAAAAACUACCCGUAAAGUGCCACGUACCACUGCUCAAAAUUCUCCACGCCACUCAUACUCUUAACAAAUGAAUUCUGGGAAAGCUAAGCAACAUUUGCAAAUUCAUGGAGACAGAAAUGAAAAUUACAAGUGUGAAAGCCUCAUGAAAAUAAUACUGACUUGAGUGGAUGGUGCCUAUUGAAUAAUAGUGGGAAAUACCCUGUAGGCUCAGAUCAUGGAGGUUCUUAAUCUGCAGCAGAACUCUUCUUUACUAUCUGGAACCAGUUUGAAACACUAAGACCAAAGCCUCUUUGUUGCUGAUGUUAAGGAAUGGAAGGAGCUCUAUGUUGAAGUUACAGCUUGUCCUUGUCACCAAUGUCCUUGUAAUGCCUUCUGGUGUGGUGUAAAAGCAAUUAAAUAAUAUCUGUGCUGUGGAUGUUUUGAUAAUGUCAUGAUUAUUUGCAAAUCUACUCUGUAUAAUACUAUAUAGAGAAAAGACACCUCCAUACAUUUUUUACACUUCCA